rnacentral:rRNA from 1 species
UACGGAGGGAGCUAGCGUUGUUCGGAAUUACUGGGCGUAAAGCGCGCGUAGGCGGCUUUGUAAGUUAGAGGUGAAAGCCCGGGGCUCAACCCCGGAAUUGCCUUUAAGACUGCAUCGCUUGAAUCCGGGAGAGGUGAGUGGAAUUCCGAGUGUAGAGGUGAAAUUCGUAGAUAUUCGGAAGAACACCAGUGGCGAAGGCGGCUCACUGGACCGGCAUUGACGCUGAGGUGCGAAAGCGUGGGGAUCAAACAGG